GACGAACGCUGGCGGCGCGCCUAACACAUGCAAGUCGAACGAGCGAGAGAGAGCUUGCUUUCUCGAGCGAGUGGCGAACGGGUGAGUAACGCGUGAGGAACCUGCCUCAAAGAGGGGGACAACAGUUGGAAACGACUGCUAAUACCGCAUAAGCCCACGGCUCGGCAUCGAGCAGGGGGAAAAGGAGCAAUCCGCUUUGAGAUGGCCUCGCGUCCGAUUAGCUAGUUGGUGAGGUAACGGCCCACCAAGGCGACGAUCGGUAGCCGGACUGAGAGGUUGAACGGCCACAUUGGGACUGAGACACGGCCCAGACUCCUACGGGAGGCAGCAGUGGGGAAUAUUGCACAAUGGGGGAAACCCUGAUGCAGCGACGCCGCGUGGAGGAAGAAGGUCUUCGGAUUGUAAACUCCUGUUGUUGGGGAAGAUAAUGACGGUACCCAACAAGGAAGUGACGGCUAACUACGUGCCAGCAGCCGCGGUAAAACGUAGGUCACAAGCGUUGUCCGGAAUUACUGGGUGUAAAGGGAGCGCAGGCGGGAAGACAAGUUGGAAGUGAAAUCUAUGGGCUCAACCCAUAAACUGCUUUCAAAACUGUUUUUCUUGAGUAGUGAAGAGGUAGGCGGAAUUCCCGGUGUAGCGGUGGAAUGCGUAGAUAUCGGGAGGAACACCAGUGGCGAAGGCGGCCUACUGGGCACCAACUGACGCUGAGGCUCGAAAGUGUGGGUAGCAAACAGGAUUAGAUACCCUGGUAGUCCACACCGUAA
rnacentral:rRNA from 1 species